rnacentral:lncRNA from 1 species
CGCCGCUCCUCCAGGCUCCCGCCGCCACGUCACGCGAACUCAAGGCUGUAUAGGCAGGAGCUAGCUCGACACGCCGCGCCGCCGCCAACGCCACGGCGAGGUCUCCCGCCGUGAGGAUUGUGAAGGUAGCUAGUCUGUGCGGCCUGCGCGGACACUCCCGCGUGGCGGAGGCGGCCGGCAUUUGGGCUGAUUUGGCGAGCUGGGGGAGC